ensembl:lncRNA
GUAGUAUGAGCACCAAGACCUGUUGGUCUUCCUGGAAGUUAGAGGUUUGUGAAAAGAUUUCUUCUAUAGCAUGGGAGUAUACCUUCAAAUGGUGAAAAUGGGGAAAGAUUACCCUUGGAAUGUUGAACUAAAUGGCAAACUGAACAUAUGGUAAUAGCUGUUCUUUACUUCUAGCUUUGCUUGUGCCUAGCACUUAGUCAAGAAGCUUGCUUUUUCUUAACAAGCUGAGGAUUUUCCCAUGGUUUGCUUUCUUUGCUUAUCCUGCCUGUGCUGCCAAUGCUGUGUAACCAGUAGCUCAGCUAAUGCUGAAGUAGUUCUUAAAAUAUCCUCUGAAAAAUAGCUUUAUCCCAUCAUAACCCAUCUAUCUUCCAUGAAGGAUGAGUGGGAUCAGGCCUUGGAGAUGCUGUCAAAUGGGAGCCAGUAUGAGAAGAGGAAUAUUUGUUAAUGCAGAGCACGCUGCUGAGAUCACCC